rnacentral:rRNA from 1 species
AAUGAACGUUGGCGGCGUGGAUUAGGCAUGCAAGUCGAGCGAGAAGGUUGAGAUUGAUCCUUCGGGUGACGUCUUAACUGGACAGCGGCGAAAGGGAGAGUAACGCGUAGUUCACCUACCCAGGGGUUCGGAAUAGCGCGGGAAACUGCCGGUAAUGCCGAAUAACGUCUCCGGACCAAAGCUCCGGCGCCCUUGGACGGGACUGCGUGCCAUUAGCUUGUUGGUGGGGUAAUGGCCUACCAAGGCUGAGAUGGCUAGUGGGCGUGAGAGCGUGGCCCACCUCACUGGGACUGAGACACUGCCCAGACACCUACGGUGGCUGCAGUCGAGAAUCUUCGGCAAUGGACGCAAGUCUGACCGAGCGACGCCGCGUGCGGGAUGAAGGCCUUCGGGUUGUAAACCGCUGUCAGAGGGGAGGAAAUUUUUUGACCGAUCCUCAAAGGAAGCCGGGCUAAGUUCGUGCCAGCAGCCGCGGUAAU